GACGAACGCUGGCGGCGUGGAUUAGGCAUGCAAGUCGAACGGUAGGAUACCUUCGGGUAUCUGAGAGUGGCGAACGGGUGAGUAACACGUAGGUGAUCUACCCUCAAGAUUGGGACAACCCAGGGAAACUUGGGCUAAUACCGGAUGAAAGCAGCAGUGAUGUUGUUUGAAAGGUGGCGUAAGCUGCCGUUUGGGGAUGAGCCUGCGCUCUAUUAGUUAGUUGGCGGGGUAAAGGCCCACCAAGGCGAUGAUAGAUAGGCGGCCUUAACGGGUGGUCGCCCACACUGGGAUUGAGGUACGGCCCAGACUCCUACGGGAGGCAGCAGUCGAGAAUAGUCUACAAUGGCCGAAAGGCUGAUAGUGCGACGCCGCGUGAACGAAGAAGCCCUUCGGGGUGUAAAGUUCUUUUAUAUGUGAGCAGUGCUUUCUAUGUGAACAGCAUGGGGAGAGAGAUAUUAGCAUAUGAAUAAGCAACGGCUAACUCCGUG
rnacentral:rRNA from 1 species